AUGAACGCUGGCGGCGUGCUUAACACAUGCAAGUCGAACGAUGAUGCCUAGCUUGCUAGGUGGAUUAGUGGCGAACGGGUGAGUAACACGUGAGUAACCUGCCCCUGACUCUGGGAUAAGCCUGAGAAAUUGGGUCUAAUACUGGAUAUGAACAUUUACCGCAUGGUGGGUGUUGGAAAGAUUUUUUGGUUGGGGAUGGACUCGCGGCCUAUCAGCUUGUUGGUGAGGUAGUGGCUCACCAAGGCGACGACGGGUAGCCGGCCUGAGAGGGUGACCGGCCACACUGGGACUGAGACACGGCCCAGACUCCUACGGGAGGCAGCAGUGGGGAAUAUUGCACAAUGGGCGAAAGCCUGAUGCAGCGACGCCGCGUGAGGGAUGACGGCCUUCGGGUUGUAAACCUCUUUCAGUAAGGAAGAAGCGAAAGUGACGGUACUUGCAGAAGAAGCGCCGGCUAACUACGUGCCAGCAGCCGCGGUAAUACGUAGGGCGCGAGCGUUAUCCGGAAUUAUUGGGCGUAAAGAGCUCGUAGGCGGUUUGUCGCGUCUGCCGUGAAAGUCCGGGGCUUAACUCCGGAUCUGCGGUGGGUACGGGCAGGCUAGAGUGCAGUAGGGGAGACUGGAAUUCCUGGUGUAGCGGUGAAAUGCGCAGAUAUCAGGAGGAACACCGAUGGCGAAGGCAGGUCUCUGGGCUGUAACUGACGCUGAGGAGCGAAAGCAUGGGUAGCGAACAGGAUUAGAUACCCUGGUAGUCCAUGCCGUAAACGUUGG
rnacentral:rRNA from 1 species